ensembl:lncRNA
AAUUUUUGGUUCAUUUUGAGGGAAUUUUAGGGAAUUUUUAGGGGAAUUUUUUGGGAAUUUUGGGUUCAUUUUUAGGGAGAAUUGUUGGGAAUUUCAGGUUUAUUUUUAAGGGAUUUUGGGGAAUUUUUUAGGAAUUUUGGGUUUAUUUUUAGGGGGAAUUUUCCGGAAUUUUUAAGGGAUUUUUUUGGGAUUUUGGGUUUAUUUUUAGGGGGAAUUUUCGGGAAUUUUUGGGUUUAUUUUUAGGGAAUUUUUGGGAAUUUUUAGGGGAAUUUUUAGGGGAUUUUUGGGGCUUUUUUAAGAGAUUUUUUUGGAUUUUUUGGGAUUUUGGGUUUAUUUUUAGGGGGAAUUUUUAGGGAAUUUUUGGGAAUUUUUAGGGGAAUUUUUAGGGGAUUUUUGGGUUUUUUUAAAAGGGAUUUUUGGGGGAUUUUUUUUGGAUUUUGGAUUUAUUUUUAAGGGGAAUUUUUGGGAAUGUUUGGGUUUAUUUUUAGGGAAUUUUUGGGAAUUUUUAGGGGAACUUUUUGGGAAUUUUGGGGUUUUUUUAAAAGGGAUUUUUUUGGGAUUUUUUAGGAAUUUUGGGUUUAUUUUUAAGGGGAAUUUUCGGGAAUUUUUAGUUUUAUUUUUAGGGAAUUUUAGGGAAUUUUUGGGAAUUUUUAGGGGAUUUUUUGGGUUUUUUAAAGAGAUUUUUGGGGGAUUUUUUGGGAAUUUUGGGGUCAUUUUUAGGGAAUUUUUUUUGGAUUUUGGGUUUAUUUUUAUGGGGAAUUUUUGGGAAUUUUUAUGGGAAUUUUUGGGUUUUUUUUAGGGAAUUUUCCGGAAUUUUUGGGGAAUUUUUUUGGGAUUUUUUCGGGAUUUUGGGUUUAUUUUUAUGGGGAAUUUUCGGGAAUUUUUGGGUUUAUUUUUAGGGAAUUUUUGGGAAUUUUUAGGGGAAUUUUUAGGGGAUUUUUGGGGCUUUUUUAAGAGAUUUUUUUGGAUUUUUUGGGAUUUUGGGUUUAUUUUUAGGGGGAAUUUUUAGGGAAUUUUUGGGAAUUUUUAGGAGAAUUUUUAGGAAUUUUUGGUUCAUUUUGAGGGAAUUUUAGGGAAUUUUUAGGGGAAUUUUUUGGGAAUUUUGGGCUCAUUUUUAGGGAGAAUUGUUGGGAAUUUCAGGUUUAUUUUUAAGGGAUUUUGGGGAAUUUUUUAGGAAUUUUGGGUUUAUUUUUAGGGGAUUUUUUGGGGAUUUUUUGGGAAUUUUGGGGUCUUUUUUAAGGAAUUUUUUUGGGAUUUUGGGUUUAUUUUUUUAGGGAAUUUUUGGGAAUUUUUAGGGAAUUUUUGGGAAUUUUUAGGGGAUUUUUUGGGUUUUUUUAAAAGGGAUUUUUGGGGGAUUUUUUGGGAAUUUUGGGGUCAUUUUUAGGGAAUUUUUUUUGGAUUUUGGGUUUAUUUUUAUGGGGAAUUUUUGGGAAUUUUUAUGGGAAUUUUUGGGGUUUUUUUAGGGAAUUUUCCGGAAUUUUUAGGGGAAUUUUUAGGGGAAUUUUUUGGAAUUUUUGGGUUUUUUUAAAAGGGAUUUUUUGGGAAUUUUUUGGGAAUUUUGGGUUUAUUUUUAUGGGGAAUUUUUAGGGAUUUUUUGGGAAUUUUUAGGAGAAUUUUUUUGAAAUUUUGGGUUCAUUUUUAGGGAAUUUUAGGGAAUUUUUCGGGGAAUUUUUUGGGAAUUUUGGGAUCAUUUUUAGGGAGAAUUGUUGGGAAUUUCAGGUUUAUUUUUAAGGGAUUUUGGGGAAUUUUUUUGGAAUUUUGGGUUCAUUUUUAGGGGGAAUUUUGAGGAAUUUUUGGGUUCAUUUUUAGGGAAUUUUCCAGAAUUUUUAAGGGAAUUUUUUGGGAAUUUUGGGGGGUUUUUAAAAGGGAUUUUUUGGGGAUUUUUUGGGAAUUUUGGGUUAAUUUUUAGGGAAUUUUUGGGGAUUUUUGGGAAUUUUUAGGAGAAUUUUUAUGAAUUUUUGGUUCAUUUUUAGGGAAUUUUUGGGGGAAUUUUGGGGAAUUUUGGGGUUUUUUAAAAGGGAUUUUUUGGGAAUUUUGGGUUCAUUUUUAGGAAAUUUUUGGUAAUUUCUUGGGGGAAUUUUUGGUAAUUUGGGGUUUAUUUUUAGAGAUUUUUUGGGAAUUUUUGGGGGAAUUUUUGGGAAUUUUGGGUUCAUUUUUCGGGAUUUUUUGGGAAUUUUUACGGGAAUUUUUUGGGGGAUUUUUUAGGAAUUUUGGGUUCAUUUUUAGGGAUUUUUUGGGAAUUUUUGGGGGAAUUUUUGGGGGAAUUUUUGGGAAUUUUUUGGGGAAUUUUUGGGAAUUUUGGGUUCAUUUUUAGGGAUUUUUUGGGAAUUUUUGGGGGAAUUUUUGGGGGAAUUUUUGGGAAUUUUUGGGGGAAUUUUUGGGAAUUUUGGGUUCAUUUUUAUGGAUUUUUUGGGAAUUUUUUUGGGUAAUUUUUGGGAAUUUUGGGUUAAUUUUUAGGGAAUCUUUGGGGGAAUUUUUGGGAAUUUUGGGUUAAUUUUUAGGGGUUUUUUGGGAAUUUUUGGGGGAAUUUUUGGGAAUUUUGUGUUUAUUUUUCGGGAUUUUUUUGGAAUUUUUGGGGGAUUUUUUAGGAAUUUUGGGUUUAUUUUCAGGAACUUUUUAGGAAUUUUUAUGGGAAUUUUUUGGGGGAAUUUUUGGGAAUUUUGGGUUCAUUUUUGGGAAUUUUGGGUUUAUUUUUAAAGGGUUUUUUUUGGGAAUUUUUGGGAAUUUUGGGUUUAUUAGUCGGGAUUUUUUGGGAAUUUUUGGGAGAAUUUUUGGGGGAUUUUUUAGGAAUUUUGGGUUUAUUUUUAGGAACAUUUUGGGAAUUUUUGGGGGAAUUUUUGGGAAUUUUGGCUUCAUUUUUAGGGAUUUUUUGGGAAUUUUGGGGGGAAUUUUUGGGAAUUUUGGGUUCAUUUUUAUGGAGUUUUUGGGGGGAAAUUUUGGGGUUUUGGGAACUUUUGGGAAUUUCCCUCCGAAUUUAACAAAUUCCAGGAAUUUUUCCCCCCUAAAAUCCGCUGGAAUUCCCCAAGCCCCGCCCACUUCCGGAAUAAACCACGCC